rnacentral:rRNA from 1 species
UACGUAGGGUGCGAGCGUUAAUCGGAAUUACUGGGCGUAAAGCGUGCGCAUGCGGCUUGCCAAGUCAGAUGUGAAAGCCCCGGGCUUAACCUGGGAAUGGCGUUUGAAACUGGCAGGCUAGAGUUUGGCAGAGGGGGGUGGAAUUCCACGUGUAGCAGUGAAAUGCGUAGAGAUGUGGAGGAACACCGGUGGCGAAGGCGGCUCACUGGCUCGUAUCUGACGCUCAGGCGCGAUAGCGUGGGGAUCAAACAGG